rnacentral:rRNA from 1 species
ACGGGUGAGUAACACGUGGGUGAUCUGCCCUGCACUUCGGGAUAAGCCUGGGAAACUGGGUCUAAUACCGGAUAUGACCUCAGGUUGCAUGACUUGGGGUGGAAAGAUUUAUCGGUGCAGGAUGGGCCCGCGGCCUAUCAGCUUGUUGGUGGGGUAAUGGCCUACCAAGGCGACGACGGGUAGCCGACCUGAGAGGGUGACCGGCCACACUGGGACUGAGACACGGCCCAGACUCCUACGGGAGGCAGCAGUGGGGAAUAUUGCACAAUGGGCGAAAGCCUGAUGCAGCGACGCCGCGUGAGGGAUGACGGCCUUCGGGUUGUAAACCUCUUUCAGCAGGGACGAAGCGCAAGUGACGGUACCUGCAGAAGAAGCACCGGCUAACUACGUGCCAGCAGCCGCGGUAAUACGUAGGGUGCAAGCGUUGUCCGGAAUUACUGGGCGUAAAGAGUUCGUAGGCGGUUUGUCGCGUCGUUUGUGAAAACCAGCAGCUCAACUGCUGGCUUGCAGGCGAUACGGGCAGACUUGAGUACUGCAGGGGAGACUGGAAUUCCUGGU